UAUCCUUAUAGGAAGAGGGAAAUUUGGACGCAGAUACCCAGGAGGAAUGCUGUGUGACUACUGAGGCAGAGAUUGGAGUUAUUCUGCAUCAAGCCGAGGAAUGCCAAGGAUUGCUGGCCACCAACAGAGGCCAGAAGAAAGUAUUUGGAAACCAAACUGAUAGAACUUGAGGGAAUCGGGAGUUUUCUGAAGAAAGUGGCUUCAUCAGAAUCAGAGGAUGAAGAGAUAAAGACAGGGACUUUUGGAGCCAUUUUGCCACUAAAAUGGAAGGAGCUUAAGAAUGGAGCCGACAAGAAGAGA